AUUGAACGCUGGCGGCAGGUCUAACACAUGCAAGUCGAGCGGCAGCGGAAAGUAGCUUGCUACUUUGCCGGCGAGCGGCGGACGGGUGAGUAAUGUCUGGGGAUCUGCCUGAUGGAGGGGGAUAACUACUGGAAACGGUAGCUAAUACCGCAUAACGUCGCAAGACCAAAGAGGGGGACCUUCGGGCCUCUUGCCAUCAGAUGAACCCAGAUGGGAUUAGCUAGUAGGUGGGGUAACGGCUCACCUAGGCGACGCUCCCUAGCUGGUCUGAGAGGAUGACCAGCCACACUGGAACUGAGACACGGUCCAGACUCCUACGGGAGGCAGCAGUGGGGAAUAUUGCACAAUGGGCGCAAGCCUGAUGCAGCCAUGCCGCGUGUAUGAAGAAGGCCUUCGGGUUGUAAAGUACUUUCAGCGAGGAGGAAGGCGUUAAGGUUAAUAACCUUAGCGAUUGACGUUACUCGCAGAAGAAGCACCGGCUAACUCCGUGCCAGCAGCCGCAGUAA
rnacentral:rRNA from 1 species